AUUGAACGCUAGUGGGAUGCCUUACACAUGCAAGUCGAACGGAGUGGCGAACGGGUGAGUAAUGUAUCGGAACGUGCCCAGUAGCGGGGGAUAACUACGCGAAAGCGUAGCUAAUACCGCAUACUAUUGGAGCGGCCGAUAUCGGAUUAGCUCGUUGGGGGGGUAACGGCGCACCAAGGCGACGAUCCGUAGCUGGUUUGAGAGGAAGACCAGCCCCACUGGGACUGGGACACGGCCCGGACUCCUACGAGAGGCAGCAGUGGUGAAUUUUGGACGAUGGGGGAAACCCUGUUCCAGCCAUCCCGCGUGUGCGAUGAAGGCCUUCGGGUUGUAAAGCGCUUUUGGCAGGAGAGCGGUACCUGCAGAAUAAGCACCGGCUAACUACGAGCCAGCAGCCGCGGUAAUUC
rnacentral:rRNA from 1 species